rnacentral:tRNA from 1 species
AGACAAAUAACUAAAUUAAAGUAUGUCAAUUACACUGAUAAAAUGAUUAACCACUAUCUUUGUCUU